UCCCUGGUGGUCUAAUGGUUAGGAUUCAGCGCUUUCACCACUGUGACCAGGUUCAAUCCCUCGUCUGGGAA
rnacentral:tRNA from 1 species